AUUGAACGCUGGCGGCAGGCCUAACACAUGCAAGUCGAGCGGAGCGGCGGACGGGUGAGUAAUACCUAGGAAUCGGCCUGGGAGUGGGGGAGAACGUUCGGAGACGGACGCUAAUACCGCAUACUAACAGAUGAGCCUAGGUCGGAUUAGCUCGUUUGGGAGUUAUUGGCUCCCCAAGGCUACGAUCCGUAACUGGUCUGAGAUGAUGAUCAGUCCCACCGGAACUGAGAAACGGUCCAGACUCCUACGGGAGGCAGCAGUGGGGAAUAUUGGACAAUGGGCGAAAGCCUGAUCCAGCCAUGCCGCGUGUGUGAAGAAGGUCUUCGGAUUGUAAAGCACUUUAAUUUGGGAGGCGUUACCGACAGAAUAAGCACCGGCUAACUCUGUGCCAGCAGCCGCGGUAAUAC
rnacentral:rRNA from 1 species